AUACGUAGGGUGCAAGCGUUAAUCGGAAUUACUGGGCGUAAAGCGCGCGUAGGUGGUUUUGUAAGUUGGAGGUGAAAGCCCCGGGCUCAACCUGGGAAUUGCCUCCAAAACUGCAUGACUAGAGUACGGUAGAGGGUAGUGGAAUUUCCUGUGUAGCGGUGAAAUGCGUAGAUAUAGGAAGGAACACCAGUGGCGAAGGCGAUAACCUGGCCUGAUACGUGCACUGAGGUGCGAAAGCGUGGGGAGCAAACAGGAUUAGAUCCCCUGGUAGUCCACGCCGUAAACGAUGUCAACUAGCCGUUGGGAUCCUUGAGAUCUUAGUGGCGCAGCUAACGCAUUAAGUUGACCGCCUGGGGAGUACGGCCGCAAGGUUAUAACUCAAAUGAAUUGGCGGGG
rnacentral:rRNA from 1 species